ensembl:lncRNA
AUAUAUCUAAUUGGAAUACUGCUCAAAAACACUGCUAAAUCAAAUAAAUACAUCUCAAAUUCAGUCGAUACGAAUUCAGGAAGACAAAAGCUCAUAGUCUAUUAUGAAAUAUGAUUCAAUAUCCAUUAUGCCUAAGGAGAGAAUAAAGCAUGAAAUAAAGCAGGAUCAUGAUUAUCAUUGAUUAUGACUGAACUUUUAGGAAAAGCAAAACAUUAUGUUUCAAGUUUCCAAAUAAAUGCAUGUUGGACUUCACAUGAAUAAGCAAAGGAGCGGAUUUUAUUUCAUACAGUAACAGGUACGUAUAAAAGCAAAAGCAAAACUAGUCAAACAUUUCAGUUACAGGAAUGAGGUUUGGGAGCAGCAGAUCCAGACUGUCAUCGGUGAGACGGCACUGACUCAGAUCCAGUUCUGUCAGUCCUUCAGAAUAUUCCAGAAUCAGCUUCAGACCUCUACAGACCUGCGGGUCCAGCUGAGUCUGACUGAGAUCCAGCUGUUCACCCAGAGCUCGAGAAAGAGACUCGGCUUCCUCAGGCCUCACAUGAGCCAGAAACUGAAGCAGCAGAGAUUUAGCACAGCUGAAAGACAGAGAGCAAGAGAUGCUUUAUAUAUACUUGAAUGUGUUUAUAUUGGAUCUGUGUAUGAAUGUGAUCUGUUGAUGUUUCUCACCAGAGUUGAACAGAAUGUAACACUGGGGACAGCUGAUCCAUUCCAGCUGUAUUAAUCUCACAGUCCUGAAGAAUUAGCUGUGUCUUUGUGUCUGAAUGAGCUCUCUGAAUGACUCUGGACAUCACACGGCAGUCGUCGAUGGUCAGAUGUAGAGGCUCUAAGUCUGUGUUUGUUGUCAGAUCCAGAGCAGAACGGCAGGAGAAGUCCAGCUCGUGCUGCAGGAUGGAGAGCAGAACUGCUGCUGCCUCCUGCUGGACACCAGAGACACUGCAGCAGUGAAGCAUCUUCAGUAACAGCAGCCUGUCAACACUGUACACAGACAACAACUAGAUCAGGACAGAUUCUGAUCAUAUCCCCAUCAUCCCAGAUUCAAUGCAGCUUUUCUUCUACUUUUAUUUAAAAACUCCAGCUUAGUUUAUGCUUAUUGUUGCUACAGUGAUAGUCAGUGGUUUUUAACCUCCAUGUAUUGAUGGAAUCUUCUGGAAUCUAAUGAUUCUGAUUCCUCUUAAUGACUCAGGGUUCCUUACUGGUUCCAUUAAUUAUUUUUUUCAGUACUUUUUAGAAAUAAAUAUUUGGAAAAAAGAAACA